AUGAACGCUAGCUACAGGCUUCACACAUGCAAGUCGAGGGGAAACGAUGAGAGAGCUUGCUCUCUUAGUCGUCGACCGGCGCACGGGUGAGUAACGCGUAUCCAACCUGCCUCUGACCAAGGGAUAACCCGUCGAAAGUCGGACUAAUACCUUAUGCAGUCGUCGGAAGUCAUCUGAUGACGACGAAAGAUUUCAUCGGUGAGAGAUGGGGAUGCGUCUGAUUAGCUUGUUGGCGGGGUAACGGCCCACCAAGGCGACGAUCAGUAGGGGUUCUGAGAGGAAGGUCCCCCACAUUGGAACUGAGACACGGUCCAAACUCCUACGGGAGGCAGCAGUGAGGAAUAUUGGUCAAUGGGCGUAAGCCUGAACCAGCCAAGUAGCGUGCAGGAUGACGGCCCUAUGGGUUGUAAACUGCUUUUAUGCGGGGAUAAAGUGAGGGACGUGUCCUUCAUUGCAGGUACCGCAUGAAUAAGGACCGGCUAAUUCCGUG
rnacentral:rRNA from 1 species